CUGUCUAAAGACAUAGUUACUCUAGAUGGCAUUAACUUGGCCUCUAGCACCACUGUCAGGAAUCUUGUAGUUAUCUUUGAUCAGGAUUUGUCAUUUAACUCCCACAUAAAGCAGACCUCUAGGACUGCCUUCUUUCAUUUACGUAAUAUUAGAAAAAUUAGACACAUACUAUCACAGACAGAUGCAGAAAAACUAAUCCAUGCAUUUGUUACUUCAAGGCCGGAUUACUGCAACUCUUUAUUAUCAGGUUGCCCCAAUAAGUCCAUUAAAACGCUCCAAUUAAUUCAGAACGCUGCAGCACGAGUACUGACAGGAACUAGAAAAAGAGAUCACAUCUCUCCUGUACUAGCUUCUCUGCAUUGGCUCCCUGUAAAAUGUAGAAUAGAAUUUAAAAUCCUCCUCCUCACCUAUAAAGCUCUUCAUGGUCAGGCCCCUUCAUAUCUUAAAGAGCUCAUAGUACCCUAUUACCCCACUAGCACACUACGUUCUCUGAAUGCUGGGCUACUUGUGGUUCCUAUAGUCUCUAAAAGUAGAACAGGAGCCAGAGCCUUCAGUUACCAAGCUCCUCUCCUGUGGAACCAGCUUCCAGUUGUGGUUCGGGAGGCAGACACCCUCACCACAUUCAAGAGUAGACUUAAGACAUUCCUCUUUGAUAAAGCUUAUAGUUAGGGCUGGAUCAGGUGAGUCCUGAACCAUCCCUUAGUUAUGCUGCUAUAGGCCUAGACUAUCGGGGGAUUUCCCAUGGUGCACUGAGCUCCUCCCUUCCUCUCUCUUUCUGCACUCAUUCAUGUCCCAUUAAUGCAUGUUACUAACUUCACUUCUUCCCCGGAGUUCUUGUGCUUUCUCGUCUCGCAGGUUCUCAUGGAUCCUGGUGGAGCCUCCUGCCAUGGUCCUGCUUGACUGCCAUUGCCAAUACUGUUGUUGCUGUGCACCUGUCUGUCUGUCUGUCGCUCUCUCUCUCUCUCUCUCUCUCUCUCUCUCACCCCAACUGGUCGAGACAGACGACCACCCACCUAGAGCCGGAGGAUCUGUCCUAGGUUUCUGCCUUUUAACAGGCAGUUUUUCCUUGCCCUUGUCGCCAAGUGCUUGCUCAUGGUGGUACUGUUGGGUCUCUGUAAUUAAUGUUAAAGAGUUCGGUCUAGACCUGCUCUAUUUGAAAAGUGUCCUGAGAUAACUUCUGUUAUGAAUUGGCGCUAUACAAAUAAAAUUGAAUUGAAUUGAA